AUACGUAGGGGGCGAGCGUUGUCCGGAUUUACUGGGCGUAAAGGGUGAGUAGGCGGUUGUAUAUGUCAGGUGUAAAAGGCACAGGCUUAACUUGUGUUAGCACUUGAAACUGUACAACUUGAGUGCAGGAGAGGUAAGCGGAAUUCCUAGUGUAGCGGUGAAAUGCGUAGAUAUUAGGAGGAACACCAGUGGCGAAGGCGGCUUACUGGACUGUAACUGACGCUGAGUCACGAAAGCGUGGGUAGCAAACAGGAUUAGAUACCCUGGUAGUCCACGCUGUAAACGAUGAGUGCUAGGUGUUGGGUAGCGAUACUCAGUGCCGCAGUAAACACAAUAAGCACUCCGCCUGGGGAGUACGGUCGCAAGACUGAA
rnacentral:rRNA from 1 species